UAAACUCAUACUAGUUAGAUUUUGAUCCCAAUCACUUUGAAUAGUUCUUAGUAAAGUCUCCAAUGACUCCUUCAUUAUCUGUCCAGUGAGCAAGUUUUAUUCCUCAUCUUACUAUCUAGUUAGCAUUUGAAAUCGUUGUUCUGGAAACCUGGUGUUAUGAUUUGGAUAUGAGGUGUCCCCUAAAAGCUCACAUGUGAGAUAAUGCAAGAAAAUUCAGAGGAGAAAUGAUUGGGUUGUGAGAGUAUUAACUGGAGGUAGCUGGUGGUGUGGCUAUAGAAAAUGGUUAUUUAGGGGCAUGGCUAUGGGAUAUAUAUUUUGUAUCUGGACAGUGGAGUCUCUUUAUUUGCUUCCUGAUGAUGUGAACUGCUUCUCUGCCACGCUCUUCUGCCAUGAUGUUCUGUCUCAUCUUGAGCUCCAAGGAAUGAAGCUGGCUUUGUAUGGACUAAGACUCUGAAACAGUGAGCCCUAAAAUAAACUUUUCCUUCUCUACAAUUGUUCUGGCCAGAUCUUUUAGUCACAGCAGCAAAAAAGCUGACUAAAACAUCUGGUUUCACUUAGUUUUGGGGUACUUCUCUAGGUUUUCUUGCUGUAUAUCUAACUGCUUCUUCUGAGUUUCUUUUGUUGAUUCUUCCCCAGAUCCCCAAAUUGGAAUGACCUCCAAGUGACUAAGGGAGUAACUAAGGUUUCAUAUUUUAAACUUCUUCUCUUGUUUAUAUACUUUUACACUUUAGGUGACCUCAUUUUGUCUCAUAGUUUUAAGUAUCAUCUAACUUACUAUCAGAUUUAUCUCAACUACAGCCUCUUCCCUGAAUUCAAGAACCAUGUAUCUAAUUUUUUAAUAUUUCUACUUUAGUGGAUAACAGUCAUCUCUAACUUCCCAUGGUCGUCUCUAACUUAACACGGUCAUCUCAAAAUUAGAAUGUCCAAAACAAAAUUCUGAUUUUUCUCUUCCACACAGAUUCCUUCCAUAUACUUCCCAAUUUAACAGUCUUCUGGUUGUACAGGCCUUACAGCUUGGACUUGAUUCUUUUCCUCUUUUACCAUCCACCAAAUGCUUUAGAUAAUCAUGUCUUUACCUUCUAAAUAUAAUCAGAUUCAGACUAUGUCUUGUCAUGGUCACUGCUGAUAUCCUGGUAGAAGACCAACUCAUCUCUUUUUUUUGUUGUUGCAAUAAUAAUUUAUAAUAAUAAUAAUUUCUGACUGCUCUCUUUGCUAAUCCCCUUCCCAUUUUCCUGCUCUC
rnacentral:lncRNA from 1 species